rnacentral:rRNA from 1 species
UCCGGUUGAUCCUGCCGGAGGCUACCGCUAUUGGAGUUCGAUUAAGCCAUGCGAGUCGCGAGAAAUUAGAUUCUCGGCGUACCGCUCAGUAACACGUGGGUAACCUGCCCUAUGCUGGAUAAUAACCUCGGGAAACUGAGAAUAAUGAUCCAUAGUUCACUACGCCUGGAACGGUGAGUGGAUGAAAGCUCCGGCGGCAUAGGAUGGGCCUGCGGCGUAUCAGGUUGUAGGGGGUGUAACGUACCCUCUAGCCCUCUACGCGUACGGGUGUUGGGAGACAUAGCCCGGAGAUGGAUUCUGAGACACGAAUCCAGACCCUACGGGGUGCAGCAGGCGCGAAAACUUGGCAAUGCGAGAAAUCGUGACCAGGGAACUCCAAGUGCAUCGGGUAAGACCGGUGCUUUUCUUGACUCUAAAUAGGUCUUGGAAUAAGGGGUGGGUAAGGACGGUGCCAGCCGCCGCGGUAAUACCGGCGCCUCAAGUGGUAGUCGCUUUUAUUGGGCCUAAAACGUCCGUAGCCGGUCUGAUACAUUCGUGGGUAAAUCAACCAGCUCAACUGGUUGAAUUCUGCGAGGACGGUCAGACUUGGGACCGGGAGAGGUGUGGGGUACGCUCAGGGUAGGGGUAAAAUCCUGUCAUCCUGAGCGGACCACCUGUUGCGAAGGCGCCACACUAGAACGGAUCCGACGGUCAGGGACGAAGCCUAGGGGCACGAACCGGAUUAGAUACCCGGGUAGUCCUAGGUGUAAACGCUGUGGACUUGA